CCUACGGGAGGCAGCAGUGGGGAAUAUUGGGCAAUGGGCGCAAGCCUGACCCAGCAACGCCGCGUGAAGGAAGAAGGCUUUCGGGUUGUAAACUUCUUUUCUGAGGGACGAAGAAAGUGACGGUACCUCAGGAAUAAGCCACGGCUAACUACGUGCCAGCAGCCGCGGUAAUAGGUAGGUGGCAAGCGUUAUCCGGAUUUAUUGGGGGUAAAGGGCGUGUAGGCGGGAAAGCAAGUCAGAUGUGAAAACUCAGGGCUCAACCCUGAGUCUGCAUUUGAAACUGUUUUUCUUGAGUGCUGGAGAGGCGAUCGGAAUUCCGUGUGUAGCGGUGAGAUGCGUAGAUAUACGGAGGAACACCAGUGGCGAAGGCGGAUUGCUGGACAGUAACUGACGCUGAGGCGCGAAAGCGUGGGGAGCACACAGGAGUAGAUACCCUAGUAGUC
rnacentral:rRNA from 1 species